rnacentral:tRNA from 1 species
AAGACCUGUAACAGUUUAUCUUACAUAUUCUGAAUGCAACCCAGAUACUUUAAUUAAGCUAAGACCUC